rnacentral:rRNA from 1 species
GCUAAUAAUGCAAGUCGAGCGGACUGAUGGGAGCUUGCUCCCUGAAGUCAGCGGCGGACGGGUGAGUAACACGUGGGCAACCUGCCUGUAAGACUGGGAUAACUCCGGGAAACCGGGGCUAAUACCGGAUAACUCUUUCCCUCACAUGAGGGAAAGCUGAAAGAUGGUUUCGGCUAUCACUUACAGAUGGGCCCGCGGCGCAUUAGCUAGUUGGUGAGGUAACGGCUCACCAAGGCGACGAUGCGUAGCCGACCUGAGAGGGUGAUCGGCCACACUGGGACUGAGACACGGCCCAGACUCCUACGGGAGGCAGCAGUAGGGAAUCUUCCGCAAUGGACGAAAGUCUGACGGAGCAACGCCGCGUGAGUGAUGAAGGUUUUCGGAUCGUAAAACUCUGUUGUCAGGGAAGAACAAGUACCGGAGUAACUGCCGGUACCUUGACGGUACCUGACCAGAAAGCCACGGCUAACUACGUGCCAGCAGCGGGGGGU